GUCAGUGUUCCCUGUUUGAAGAUCCCUAUUGAAUUUUAUUCCUGCGAUUCUUGAAUAUGCCAUAUACUUGAUUUUAAUUGUGUGGCUCAGAAACCUCAUGGUUUGAGUGCGACCUUUUCUGGUUGCAUCCGGGCCCUGUUUGGAUGGAAAUUCCUUUUUGUAGUUCGAACAAAUUACCAUGGUCAAACUACGUCUCUCAGUAAAGUAUUUUAGAUUUAACUUGUAGAUUUAUCUAUUUGCAUAAAUAUCUGUAGAAAAGACGAAUAGUCAAACAAGUGAAAAAAAUUCAAUGGUAUCAUAUAUUUAAGAACCGAGGUAGUAACAGAUUUUGUAGUUUUGAAAACCAUGGCAGUAGUCUAUCUGAAACUUCUGUAGUCGUCAUAAACCGUAGUAGUUAUCUGUUCUAACUUCAAUCCGUGGUUUUCAGCCACUGUAUCACCCACACAGGGUUGUAGUCUUGGAGGUUUAGAAACUUUACAUCAGACCUUUUUUUCUAAACCAUGAUUUUGCAUGUCUCUGGUUUCUAAAACUAAAGUUUCUUGAUAAAACGGUUUCUCAAAACUAUGAAAUCCAAACAGGCCAGAGCCAUGUUUUAUGGGGUAUCUAGUUUGAGGAACUAAUCCUUCCAAGAAUGUGUUAGUCCAC
rnacentral:lncRNA from 1 species